rnacentral:rRNA from 1 species
GGCUUAACACAUGCAAGUCGCACGAGAAAGUGACUUCGGUCGCGAGUAAAGUGGCGGACGGGUGAGUAACACGUGGGUAACCUGCCCUUCAGUGGGGGAUAACAGACCGAAAGGUUUGCUAAUACCGCAUGCGUCGGCGAGGUCUAAGGACCUUGUUGGGAAAGCCGGCCUCUGCAUGCAAGCUGGCGCUGAAGGAGGGGCCCGCGGCCCAUCAGCUAGUUGGUGAGGUAACGGCUCACCAAGGCAAAGACGGGUAGCUGGUCUGAGAGGAUGAUCAGCCACACUGGGACUGAGACACGGCCCAGACUCCUACGGGAGGCAGCAGUGGGGAAUAUUGGGCAAUGGGCGCAAGCCUGACCCAGCCACGCCGCGUGAGUGAUGAAGCCCUUCGGGUCGUAAAGCUC